rnacentral:rRNA from 1 species
GAUGAACGCUGGCGGCGUGCCUAACACAUGCAAGUCGAGCGGAGACAUGGCGGAGAUUCAAUCGAUGAUCUGCCGUGUCUUAGCGGCGGAUGGGUGAGUAACACGUGGGUAACCUGCCCUUCACUGGGGGAUAACAGUUGGAAACGACUGUUAAUACCGCAUAUGCGCACGGGGUCGCAUGAUCCUGGGCGGAAAGAUUUAUCGGUGGAGGAUGGGCCCGCGUCGGAUUAACUGGUUGGUGAGGUAACGGCCCACCAAGGUGAUGAUCCGUAGCCGACCUGAGAGGGUGACCGGCCACAUUGGGACUGAGACACGGCCCAAACUCC